GUGACAGCGACCCAGAUGACCCUGAGCCUUUCCAUGGUUUUGAUGCCUCGCCCUAUUCAUCAGAUCUAGAUGUUCCCUCAUCAGUUGAUACGAGUAGUAUCACCUCUCCAGAGCCCAAAUCAGUUGAUACGAGUAGUAUCACCUCUCCCAUUCCUUCAGACUCCCAAGCACCUGCCCAUCCCACUCCAUAGCCCAGCCACCCACUCAUCUACCAUAUGCCCAUCCCAGUAAGCAAGCCAACCACUAGAAUUUGACUGGCAUGCACCUGUGACUUACAUAAACCAGACCUCUACAUAGCCUACAUGUCUUCAUUUUGCUGAAGGGUAGGAAUUCUCAGUUGUGUUUGUUUGCAUACGUACAAUAAAUUUUGUACACCUAAGUGGUUACAUACUGUCCUUUAAUAUUAAUUCUUCAUUCCAGACUGCCCAUCAUCCUAGCCUGUUAUCUGUGAUAAAGCACACUGAAGUUAGGUUUGGAAUGCAUCCUUAUCAUGAAUGCUCUACACCUCCACCUCCGUCUCCCACAACCUAGGUAACAGCUUUGAGACUCACUAAAAGUUGAGUCCCCUGAAUGAUGUAGGCUAUGG